ACUCCUACGGGAGGCAGCAGUGGGGAAUAUUGCACAAUGGGCGCAAGCCUGAUGCAGCCAUGCCGCGUGUAAUUGGAAGAAGGCCUUCGGGUUGUAAAGUUACUUUCAGCAAGUGAGGAAGGCCGGGGGGUACCGUUUAAAAAUAGCCGGUUGCUCCGUUUUUUGGAACCGGUAGGCNGCAGGAAAAAGGAAAAGCCNCCCGGGGNUAACUCCGUGCCAGCAGCCGCGGUAAUACGGAGGGUGCGAGCGUUAAUCGGAAUUACUGGGCGU
rnacentral:rRNA from 1 species